CUACGGGGCGCUCCAGUGAGGAAUAUUGCACAAUGGAGGAAACUCUGAUGCAGCAACGCCGCGUGGAGGAUGACGCAUUUCGGUGUGUAAACUCCUUUUAUAUGUCAAGAAAAUGACGGUAGCAUAUGAAUAAGCACCGGCUAACUCCGUGCCAGCAGCCGCGGUAAUACGGAGGGUGCAAGCGUUACUCGGAAUCACUGGGCGUAAAGGACGCGUAGGCGGGAUAUCAAGUCAGGUGUGAAAUCCUACAGCUUAACUGUAGAACUGCACUUGAAACUGGUAACCUAGAGUAUGGGAGGGGGCGAUGGAAUUAGUGGUGUAGGGGUAAAAUCCGUAGAUAUCACUAGGAAUACCUAAAGCGAAGGCGAUCUCCUGGAACAUAACUGACGCUGAGGCGUGAAAACGUGGGGAACAAACACGAUUAGAAACCCUUGUAGUC
rnacentral:rRNA from 1 species